rnacentral:tRNA from 1 species
GAAGAUAUGGCUCAGUGGUUAAGAGCACAUGCUUCUUGUGCAGAGGACCUAGGUUCGACUCCUAGCAUCCA